UACGUAGGGUGCAAGCGUUGUCCGGAAUUAUUGGGCGUAAAGAGCUCGUAGGUGGCCUGUCGCGUCGGCUGUGAAAACUCGGGGCUCAACUCCGAGCUUGCAGUCGAUACGGGCAGGCUAGAGUUCGGCAGGGGAGACUGGAAUUCCCGGUGUAGCGGUGAAAUGCGCAGAUAUCGGGAGGAACACCGGUGGCGAAGGCGGUUCUCUGGGCCUUACCUGACGCUGAGGAGCGAAAGCGUGGGGAGCGAAACAGG
rnacentral:rRNA from 1 species